UGGUUGCCCAGCAGGAGGUCCCAUUUGGCCUGUGGCACAGUACGCAGGACAGAUUACAUGGAGAUGGCUGCCUGAGGGCAGUCAUGGGAAGGAGAGGGCACGUGUCUUACCUCCUACUCUCCCUGCACUGUUCAGAGUUUGACCCCUUGGAAGCCAGAUGUUAAGACCGCUGUGGUGGCGUUUGUAACUCAAGUCUGGAAGUGACAAGAGAAGACAUUAACUCAGAGCACGUAGCUGGUUGGCAGCCAAGGAGAGAGCUCACAUUCCCAGGGCACGUGACUGGUCAGCCCCCAGAAGGUCCAGGAGGUGUUGGAAUUGAGAGAUCUGAAGAUAUGUCCGACCCAGCAUUUCAUAAGUGUAUCAUGCCUGUUGGUCCCCUACUAGACAGAAGCAUCUUCCAGAGACACACCUGCCUGAUUUGAUGACCUAUCCCCAGGCUGGUGGAGUGCCUGGCACAAAAUAGGUGCUGAACGCCAAGCUUGCCACACCAAGUUCCAAUACUGCAGAGCUUCCCCCAACUUCCCAGGCAGGUUUCACCAAGGAGGAAUUAACGUCGAGAUGAGACGUGGAGAGGGAGCCGCUCUUCGCUUGACUGGCGCGUGGCUCCCCAGGAUUGGGGCUUCAGCGUAUCCUGGCAGAUUGCUGCUACACGUUGCUGGGUUACAAAAGCCCCACAUCAACAAAACUCCUGCUGAGAAAGAAUCACCAGAUUGAAGCAUCUGCUCCAGAGCCAAAUAGAAGUUACAAAUUGUUAAAGUCCAGAUGACGUCACACUGGGCUCCCACUACAGUUCCGGCUGAUCCCAGGACCUUGAAGGUCUUCUACAGAGAAACUAAUGUCCAGAGAACAUCAAGACACCAAAGCUUCCCAGGCCCAACUCCUCGGCUUCCUGAUGUCACAGUCUACCUUCCACCAUGGAGAUAAAGAGGCAAGGACACUCAUCUGAGAAAUCCUGUGUCUCCUCCACUGGAAGCAGCCCCAGAUGUGGGCCAAGGGGAAAAUGCUGACCAAGAAGGCCCCUCCACCCCCAAACCCCAAUGAAAACCCCUACCCAUUUCUUAACAAGGAGCAAAGCAAGGGCCGGUGCCCAAAAAGCUGACUUCUGCCUGGCAAAGUAAAGCCUGCCCUUUUUCACCCAAGACUCUGUUCUCGUUAUUUGGAUUGGCAUCGGGAUCAGAGAUCGAACUUUUGGUAACAAUGCUUCUAAAAAGGUUCUUGUAUUUCUUUGAGACCAUUUCUCAGAGUUUCAGAAAAUUGUAUGUAACCCAAGUGACGCAGGCUCUUUCAGUGAAACUACUUAGUGUUAACUCUCCCAUUUCCCAGCUGCAGAACAAGAGUGAGGUCAGAGGCCCACUGCAAGGUCAGGCUCGCAUCCUGAGAUCCAGAGUCAUUCAAGGGGAAUCCAUGAGGAAAAAGCAGAAAAGAGACCCUGGGUUGGCAUGUUCUGUCCUGGAAAUUGCUAUGGCAGUUACUAAAACCCCAAGUAAGCCUUCCUCAAGGAGAAGCAGCAGAGCAAAGGCUUACCGCCACUCGGGUGCCCACUCCUGUCACCGCUGGGGCAGGGACGGGCCACCAGAGCCAAAGCCAGGACAGCCUGCUUGGCCCUGCCCACCACGGCCUAAACUCUGCUGUCCCAGAGUGACUUAGGCAAGUCACUGCCCUCUCUGGACCUUUGCCCUGAGAUGGUGCAUCAGCAGGGAGGGCCAGAAGUUCCACAAGGGAGCUGCUGGGUUUAGCAAUGUGAUGUGGUCUCCCCCACCCUCUACAUUUCAUCGAUUUAUUUUUGAACAGGUCAUGAUAGCAAACACUUUGUGCCGGGCCCUGCUCUAAACCUUUACAUAUAUUAAUUCAUUUAAUCCUUCCAACAACUCUAGAGGGAGAUGCCAUUAUCAUCAUUCCCAUUUACAGAGGAGGAUGUGAGACACAGACAGCUUAAGGUUAAAGAUGAACAGAUAAAGAGAUCAAGGCACUGAGAGAUUGCCUUCUCACACUCACUUAGGUGGCAAGGGGCAGAGCCAGGUUAGAAUGCAGGCAGCCUCCCGCCAGCUUAGUGCCCUCACCCUGCAGUCCUGACAGCUCUGUCCUCCAGACUCCCAGUUCCUCUCAAAUUCUCUCUCUCGAGGCUACUACUAUCAAUAAUUUUUGUGUAUCUUUUCAAAAAAUGUUGUGUGGCAUUUAUACAUUACAUACACACAUGCACAUAUAUAGUAUAUUAUACAUAUAACAUAGACAUAUAUCCUUUCUUUCUUCAGACAAAUAGUAGCUAAUAUACUCUUCCUUUUUGCACCAAAUACAAGGACAUGAUCUUUUUAUGUCAAUUCAUUUAGAGCUGCCCCAUUCUUUUUAGGAACAACAUGGUAUAUCCCAUUGCAUAAACCAUAAUUUUAUAAACCACCGCCUACUGAUCACAUUUAGCUUGUUUCCAUUAUUUUACAAUUACAAAGAACACUGCAGUGAAUAUUCUUGUGGAUACACCAUUUGCACAAGUGAGCCUGUGGCAGGCGGACUGGUCCCCCAGGAUGUCCAUGUUCUAAUUGCUGGAACUUGUGAAUAUGUUACGUUACGUGGCAAAAGGGACUUUGCAGAUGGAAUUACGAUUU
rnacentral:lncRNA from 1 species